GUGCUUGCUUCAGCAGCACAUAUACUAAAUUUGGAAUGAAAGAGAAGAUUAGCAUGGCUCCUGUGCAAGAAUGACACGCAAAUUUGUGAAGUGUUCCAUAUAUUU
ensembl:snRNA U6 U6 spliceosomal RNA